rnacentral:rRNA from 1 species
ACGAACGCUGGCGGCGCGCUUAACCCCUGCCAGUCGCACGGAAAGGCCCUGCUUUUGUGGGGUGCUCGAGUGGCGAACGGGUGAGUAACACGUGAGUAACCUGCCCUUGACUUUGGGAUAACUUCAGGAAACUGGGGCUAAUACCGGAUAGGAGCUCCUGCUGCAUGGUGGGGGUUGGAAAGUUUCGGCGGUUGGGGAUGGACUCGCGGCUUAUCAGCUUGUUGGUGGGGUAGUGGCUUACCAAGGCUUUGACGGGUAGCCGGCCUGAGAGGGUGACCGGCCACAUUGGGACUGAGAUACGGCCCAGACUCCUACGGGAGGCAGCAGUGGGGAAUAUUGCACAAUGGGCGGAAGCCUGAUGCAGCAACGCCGCGUGCGGGAUGACGGCCUUCGGGUUGUAAACCGCUUUCGCCUGUGACGAAGCGUGAGUGACGGUAAUGGGUAAAGAAGCACCGGCUAACUACGUG